rnacentral:rRNA from 1 species
GUUGCUUCGGCGGGUAGGCCGUCCCCUGAAAAGGACGCCUCCCGGCCCGGACCGGACCCCCCGUGGGGCCGGACUCGGCGCCCGCCGGAGGAUAACCAAACGCUAUUUUAACGACGUUUCUUCUGAGUGGCAUAAGCAAAAUAAUCAAAACUUUUAACAACGGAUCUCUUGGUUCUGGCAUCGAUGAAGAACGCAGCGAAAUGCGAUAAGUAAUGUGAAUUGCAGAAUUCAGUGAAUCAUCGAAUCUUUGAACGCACAUUGCGCCCGCCAGCAUUCUGGCGGGCAUGCCUGUUCGAGCGUCAUUUCAACCCUCAAGCUCUGCUUGGUGUUGGGGCCCUACGGUCGACGUAGGCCCUCAAAGGUAGUGGCGGACCCUCCCGGAGCCUCCUUUGCGUAGUAACAUUUCGUCUCGCACUGGGAUCCGGAGGGACUCUUGCCGUAAAACCCCCCAAUUUUUCAAGGUUGACCUCGGAUCAGGUAGGAAUACCCGCUGAACUUAAGCAUAU